AAGUCGAACGCUUCAGCAAUGAAGAGUGGCAGACGGGUGAGUAACGCGUGGGAACCUUCCCAGUGGUACGGAAUAGCCCAGGAAACUUGGGGUAAUACCGUAUAAGCCCUUAGGAGGAAAGAUUUAUCGCCAUUGGAUGGGCCCGCGUCGGAUUAGCUUGUUGGUGAGGUAAAAGCUCACCAAGGCGACGAUCCGUAGCUGGUCUGAGAGGAUGAUCAGCCACACUGGGACUGAGACACGGCCCAGACUCCUACGGGAGGCAGCAGUGGGGAAUAUUGGACAAUGGGCGCAAGCCUGAUCCAGCCAUGCCGCGUGAGUGACGAAGGCCUUAGGGUUGUAAAACUCUUUUGGCGGGGACGAUAAUGACGGUACCCGCAGAAUAAGCUCCGGCUAACUUCGUGCCAGCAGCCGCGGUAAUACGAAGGGAGCUAGCGUUGUUCGGAAUUACUGGGCGUAAAGCGCACGUAGGCGGAUUUGUUAGUCAGGGGUGAAAUCCCGGGGCCCAACCUCGGAACUGCCUUUGAUACUGCAAGUCUGGAGUCCGGAAGAGGUGGGUGGAAUUCCUAGUGUAG
rnacentral:rRNA from 1 species